rnacentral:piRNA from 1 species
GGCUUUUAAACUAUGUCCAACCUACAUGUGC